rnacentral:rRNA from 1 species
CAGUACUGCCCCGAAUAUCCCGGGCUACACGCGAGCUACAAUGGUUGGUACAAUGGGUAUCUACCCCGAAAGGGGACGGGAAUCUCCUAAAACCAAUCUUAGUUCGGAUUGAGGGCUGCAACUCGCCCUCAUGAAGCUGGAAUCCGUAGUAAUCGCGUUUCAACAGAACGCGGUGAAUACGUCCUGCUCCCUU